UGUGAGGGUGAUCUGGCUGCGACAUCUGUCACCCCAUUGAUCGCCAGGGUUGAUUCGGCUGAUCUGGCUGGCUAGGCGGGUGUCCCCUUCCUCCCUCACCGCUCCAUGUGCGUCCCUCCCGAAGCUGCGCGCUCGGUGGAAGAGGACGACCAUCCCAGAUAGAAGGAGUGUACUACUACUACUGCUAAUAAUAAUAAUAAUAAUAAUAAUAAUAAUAAUAAUACCACAUCCAUCUGACUUGGUCACCCCAGCCACUCUGGGU